GUUGAAAGCACCUUGAAGGAGAAAAUAAAACAAAAAGGAUUGCCCAGGAUUGGAAUGCAAAAAAAAUCUGGAUGGGUUUUGCGACUGGAACAGGUUGCAGAGAUGGGAAGAAGUGAAAAUUUGAGAUUUCUAACAUUUGCAGAUUUUAGUUCUAUAGGGGAAUGAUGUUAUCCUCAACUUCCUCCUCUGAAAUUCAGCAACCUUCCAUCAGCCUUGUGGAACCAUAGAGAAAGCACUGUGCACGAGCACUAAGGCUGGUACCAAGGAGAUGAUCUAGAUGUUGCUGGUAUCACCAGCAUCUGCAAUUGUCCCCAAACUGAAGAAGUCAUCAAUCAUAUUGUUAAGUCUGGAGUCACAUUUAGUCCACACCAG